rnacentral:lncRNA from 1 species
AUGCCCAAAGGAAAGAAGGUCAAGGUGAAGAACGUGGCACUGGCCCCCUGCUGUAGGGGUAGGGAAAAAACAGGAGGCCAAAAAGGUUUCUUUGAGAAAAGGCCCAAGAACUUCAGCAUUGGGCAGGACAACCAGCCUAAAAGAGAUUUCACAUGCUUGGCCUCCUUUCAGGGCUCAGGUGGUUCCCGCGGGGGCUCGCUAUAGGCUGCAGCAGAAAGAGAGCCAUCUUUUUUAUUUAUUUAUUUAUUUAUUUAUUUAUUUAUUUAUUUAUUCGCUUUCUUUGGCCUCGCUUCAAGGCUUGGAUGGCCCCACUGCUCAGCUCGCUACAGGCUGCAGCAGCAAAGAGCCAUCCUCUAGAAGUGGCUCAAAGCACUCCUGCCAUUAACCAGUUCACCCAGGCCCUGGCAGGCAAAUGGCUACUCAUCUGCUUAAGCUUGCCCACAAGUACAGGCCACCUUGGUGGAGAACAGGAAGGCUCAGCUGAUGGUGAUUGCCCAUGAUGUAGAUCCCUCUGAGUAGGUGGUUUUCCUGCCUGCGCUGUGUGGAAAGAUGGGAGUGCCCUACUUCAUCAUCAAGGGAAAGGCCAGGCUGGGGCGCCUGGUCCACAAGAAGACAUGCACCGCUGUUGCCGCUGUUGCGGUCACACAGGUGCUCUGGCUAACCUGGUGGAAGCUAUUAGGAAGGACCAAGUACAAAGACAGACAAGAUCAGCCGCCGCUGUGUCCUAAGUCUGUGGCUCGCAUUGCCAAGCUGAAA